AUGGCUGAGACUGACCCUGAGACCAUGCAGGAUCUCACCUUGGUGGUACAGAUACUUCUGCAGCAGAUGCAAGAUAAAUUUCAGGCCAUGUCUGACCAGAUCAUUGGAAGAACUGAUGAUAUGAGUAGUCGCACUGAUGAUCUGGAGAGAAACAUCGCAGACUUCAUGACACAGGCUGGAGUGGAAGAACUGGAAGGUGAAAACAAGAUACCUGCCACACAAAAGGGUUGAAGUUUGCUAAUAAUUUACACUGAAAUGUGGAAUACCGUCUUUCAAGCCAAGAGAAGAUUGAAUGGCUUUUUGCAGCUAACUACUAUGUGUAGACAGGUUUUGUAUUAUAAAAUGUCCACUCUUAUCACAUACUACAUAGUUUAUAGAGUGAUUUAUCCCCCAGUUUCUUGAACAUGGUAUUUUCACAUCUUGCAUCUUGGUCAGUUGUGCUAUUAAUUAUUAAACACUGAAUCACUGGUGUUUCCUACAAAAAAAAAAAAAAAAGAAAAAGGAAAGAAGCCUGGGUGACACAAAAGGGGAACUGAGUUCUUGAAAGUGAUUUGGGUGAAGUGGAUGAUAGAACUGAGGACAGAACUUAAAGACAGGCAAAAAUAAGACCCAGGUCUGCAG